CUUUCUUUGCUGGCGACCGGCGCACGGGUGAGUAACACGUAUCCAACCUGCCCUUUACUCGGGGAUAGCCUUUCGAAAGAAAGAUUAAUACCCGAUAGCAUAAUGAUUCCGCAUGGUUUCAUUAUUAAAGGAUUCCGGUAAAGGAUGGGGAUGCGUUCCAUUAGGUUGUUGGUGAGGUAACGGCUCACCAAGCCUUCGAUGGAUAGGGGUUCUGAGAGGAAGGUCCCCCACAUUGGAACUGAGACACGGCCCAGACUCCUACGGGAGGCAGCAUG
rnacentral:rRNA from 1 species